ACAUGCCUACAAUGUAGCGUCAAUGCACUGGAUCUCAUUAGAACUCCGCAGUUAAGCAUGCUCAGGCUAGAGUAGUACUGGGAUGGGUGACCACUCAGGAAGUUCUAUUAUUUUACAUGCC
rnacentral:rRNA from 1 species